rnacentral:rRNA from 1 species
UACAGAGGUCCCAAGCGUUGUUCGGAUUCACUGGGCGUAAAGGGUGCGUAGGUGGCCAGGUAAGUUCGGUGUGAAAGCUCGGAGCUCAACUCCGAAAUGUCAUUGAAUACUAUCUGGCUGGAGGGUCGGAGGGGAGACUGGAAUUCUCGGUGUAGCAGUGAAAUGCGUAGAUAUCGAGAGGAACACCAGUGGCGAAGGCGAGUCUCUGGGCGACUCCUGACACUGAGGCACGAAAGCUAGGGGAGCAAACAGG